UGAAACAUGGUGUAUAACUGACAAUCUAAAUAGAUUUGUGUUUUGUGCUAGAAGAUAAAUCAUAAUGAUGUUAAUUUUAUUGCUUUUGUUGUAAUAGUAUGGAUUGUUGACAAGUAUUGCUGACUACCAAGAUUGCCAAGAUUUCUUAAAGGGAAAAUUUGCAAAUAUAUACCGAUGUACUGUCAAAAAGACGAAGAAAAAAGUGCUACUUAAAGAUUACGAAGAUAUUCAUUUCACAGAUGUAAUAAAUGAAUCCAACAUACUGCAUGGAUUUAAUUCAACUAAACACAAAAAUGUUAACAUCGUACAAACGUAUGGCAUAGUAGCAGGAGAGACAUUUGAUUCAAUGUUUCUCUUGAUGGAAGAUUAUGAAUGUUCUCUAGCUCAUAUUAUAAAUGAAUCCAAAAGUGAUGAAAUAUGUAAUAAAUCUAAGGUUGAAACAAGAUGUCCUUUUUUAUACAUUGAUGGGAAAAAGGUA